rnacentral:rRNA from 1 species
ACAUGCCUACAAAACAGCGUUAAUGCACCAAAUCCCAUUAGAACUUUGCAGUUAAGCGUGCUCGGGCUAGAGUAGUACUAGGAUGGGUGACCUCCCGGGAAGUCCUAGUGUUUUACAUGCC